rnacentral:rRNA from 1 species
AGAUAAUAGAUACCCUGGUAGUCCUGGCCUUAAACGAUGAUCACUAGGUGUAGGAGGCUUCGACCCCUUCUGCGCCGCCGCUAACGCAUUAAGUGAUCCGCCUGGGGAGUACGGCCGCAAGGUUAAAACUCAAAGGAAUUGACGGGGGCCCGCACAAGCAGUGGAGCAUGUGGUUUAAUUCGAUGCUACGCGAAAACCUUACCAGGGUUUGACAUCCCGGUGUAACCCCAUAGAAAUAUGGGGCCCCUUCGGGUGCCGGUGACAGGUGGUGCAUGGUUGUCGUCAGCUCGUGCCGUGAGGUGUUGGAUUAAGUUCCGCAACGAGCGCAACCCUCGUUGCUAGUUGCCAUCAUUAAGUUGGGCACUCUAGCGAGACUGCCAGCGUCAAGCUGGAGGAAGGUGGGGAUGACGUCAAAUCAUCAUGCCCCUUACAUCCUGGGCUACACACGUGCUACAAUGGCCGGUACAACAGGUUGCUACCUCGCGAGAGGAUGCGAAUCCCCAAAGCCGGUCUCAGUUCGGAUUGUAGGCUGC